GGGGAUCUGCCCGAUAGAGGGGGAUAACCACUGGAAACGGUGGCUAAUACCGCAUAACGUCGCAAGACCAAAGAGGGGGACCUUCGGGCCUCUCACUAUCGGAUGAACCCAGAUGGGAUUAGCUAGUAGGCGGGGUAAUGGCCCACCUAGGCGACGAUCCCUAGCUGGUCUGAGAGGAUGACCAGCCACACUGGAACUGAGACACGGUCCAGACUCCUACGGGAGGCAGCAGUGGGGAAUAUUGCACAAUGGGCGCAAGCCUGAUGCAGCCAUGCCGCGUGUAUGAAGAAGGCCUUCGGGUUGUAAAGUACUUUCAGCGGGGAGGAAGGCGAUGUGGUUAAUAACCGCGUCGAUUGACGUUACCCGCAGAAGAAGCACCGGCUAACUCCGUGCCAGCAGCCGCGGUAAUACGGAGGGUGCAAGCGUUAAUCGGAAUUACUGGGCGUAAAGCGCACGCAGGCGGUCUGUUAAGUCAGAUGUGAAAUCCCCGGGCUUAACCUGGGAACUGCAUUUGAAACUGGCAGGCUUGAGUCUCGUAGAGGGGGGUAGAAUUCCAGGU
rnacentral:rRNA from 1 species